UUGCACAGUGUAAAUGCCAAUUAACUAAAACGAAUGCAAGAGGAAGAAGUCGCGUACCUGCUCUGUUAGAGGCGAUGGAGACGAUGGCGAAGCUCUGGCUGGAACGCUGGUGGUGACUUUCGUCUGCUGUAUACCUACUUCUACUUUCCCUUUUGCUCUUGUGCCCACCGUCUGCUGGAUUUGAUUUCUGGGUUGUUCUUUUUCUGCAGGAACGGAGACAAUGGUUGUUCCUCUGCUUUUCUCUCCUCUUCUUUGUGUUCUGGGUUGUUCUUCACUGGUUUUCUUUUUUGCUUGCAGGGACGAAGACAAUAGCAGGGCUGAUCUGUGACUCCCCUCUUCCUUUCUCCCCUUCUCUGUGUAUAUAUAUUUUUUGCGUUUAUGCUCUGUUUCUUUUCUGUGAUUUGCUCUGUUUUUGGGUCCCCCGUCCCUUUUCCAGGUUUUCUUCUCCCUCUUAUAGAGAUUCCCAAGCUGCCUCCUUUAACCAGUCCUGCCUUUGCAGGACUGUUAUUUGCCACGAACGAGAUCGUGGGCGAGAGACGUGAUCCACGAUUGGAUCGAAUCCGUUGCAGAUUUUCAGCCUGUUGAAUCGGGAUGGAGAAGAUGAACACGAUUGUUUCACCAGCAACGGCAACGUUU
rnacentral:lncRNA from 1 species